CAGCCUCUAGACACCGAUUCCCGCUCUUCUUCUUCUCCUUCACCUUCUUCAAUACUAUUCAGUACCCUCUCUCUCUCUCUCUCUCUCUCUGUCUGUUUCAGCAACUGGAUUCUCUCAUGAUCUCGCCUUCUUCGAGCCGAGGAAGACCUGUUAGAUGAUGUUCACUACCUGUUAGAUGAUGUUCACUAAAGGUCUAGACGAAAGGUCCAUCAAAUGGGUCAUCGUUGAUUCUCUCCAAGUUUCUUCUUGUUUUUCCUCUCUUUUUUCAAUCAAAUGGGUCUUUAUUUAACUCCUUUAGAAUUCGAUCAUUUUUAUUGAUUCUUUUCAUUUUCAUCUUUAAAACAUUCUAAAUUUUCAUGCUCUUUUAUCUUUUUGAAUUGGGAUUAUGUUUUCAAUAGGGAAUGGAGUGAUUGCCUUUCCUUUUUCCUUUAUAGAGAGACCUGCACAUUUUUUAUGAAACAGAAACUCAUCUGAUGGAUCUUACUUAAAUGCCUUUAGACGAAAUUACCUUUGUUCCUUUUAUAGUUUUGUGCCCCUUUCACACGUCUGAAAUCUAGAAAUUCAGGACUACAUCGUAUAUGUUUAUGUACUCUUGUAAGGACCGUCAUGAUUCUUUGUAAUGUCAUCCUCUGACUAUGUAGGUCUUAUCAUCUGUUCAACUUUUGUUUUUGAAUCUCUUUAUAUCUAUAUCAAUUGUAUGCAAAGCAUUCUUACAACUCCAUUCUCGGUGUUAGUUCAAAUUAUUCCAAUACAGAAACAAGGAGAGCUUCUUUCUAGCUUGCUUUGCAAUGGCAUCCAGAUAGGUGGACAAGUGCUCCUUCUUUGUUGAGUGAAGCCAAACAGAAAUUUCAUCAAAAUCAAUAAAAGCUUGUUCAGAUUCAAAUAUCAACAAUAUGGAAGAAUUCCUAUAACAAUGGCGAGUGGAAAUUGUGUGUCAACAAAUCCUCACAAGGUAUAGUAUAAUAUAAUUUUAAUUCAUUUGCAGUUACAAGAAUGAAAACACUAUUUUCUAUCUCCCCUUUUUCACAAAUAUUAAACAAAGGCAUCCAUCUUUUGAUGUUACUUUUGAAAAAAUUUAAAACUGAGUAUGUUGUAACCUUUUUUAAACAAUGUCAAGAUAAAUUGUGUUACAUAUUGAAUGUAACAAAAUUUUGUUACAUAUUGAAUGUUUCUUACAUAGUUAAUCUAUCUAUUUAGCUACAAUAAUAGCUUUAAAAAAACCCUCAAGUACUUCUCAAAAUCAAUUAAGGCUUUAAAAAAAGAAUAUGAAAAAGCAUUGUAUAAUUUCACUAAUUUAUUGUCAAAAAGAACUUUGUUGCCUUGUUGUCAACAGAGCCUUAGAUCAUUUCCUUUUUUUUCUUUUCUUCUUUUUUUUCACUUUCAUUUGGAGUUUCCUCUAGUUAUGUGUCCUCCUAAAAAGGACUUUGCGCCAUUGUUUUCACUUUUCUUUUUUUUAUUUUUCAUUUUUAUUAUCUAGUAAUAAAAAGAAAUUGGGUUAAGCAUUUAUAUUCCUAAAUCCUAAUCCAUAUAAUUUGCUGUUUUAGUUUUCUAUUCCUAAUUCGUAUCAUCUAAUUUAGUUAUAAGGCAACUUCCUUUUGACGAAUUGGAGCAAUGUUUUUUUUCUAUGUCCUACGAAGUAUGUACUUGUACUUUUUCAUAUUUAAUAAAGCUUUUGUGUGGACUACUAGAAUCAAAAAUUGGGAGAUCUCAAUUAUGUUAUGGAUUUAUAGAACAUUUUCUUUGAUUCUUGUUGGACUUUGUAGCAGUGUUAGCGAGUGUCUUCUUGUAUGGAAAUGAUGUGGGCUUGGGGACUAGUAUUGUUUUUUGUUAGCGUCUUAGUUUUGUCUUAAUCACUAAUAUGCAAUGAUUACACAAAUAUGGGAACAUAUAAAACCCAAGCUUCACUAAUCAUUUUAUCUUGGAGUGCUUGAAGCAUCUUCUUACGGUUAAUUCUUUCAUUGAAUUCCUCUCUUUUCUUCUAUAUGGAAGGUAGUAUUACACUGUCUUCUCUUUCCUGACAACUUUGACCACCCUUGCUUGAGCCUUAGAUUAUUAUUUCAUGACUGUUGUCAAUGAUUCAUAGAUAUGCAAUGUUGUUGUAGUGGUUGGUUAUCUCAAACUAUCAUGUCAUAUAUAUGGAAAGAUUCAUGAAAACAAUAGUGACUUUACAUAUAUAACUUUACAUAUAUAAUAUGUUAUUGUCAUUCUGGUUUGCUUAAGAGACAUAAUACUUGUGCAUCUCUUGUUUUUUAUACAUAAAUAGUAUUUGUUGUUUUGAGCUGAAGAUUGCUAAUAGCACUACUCUUGAUCUAUCAAUGGCUAGUCUUGAUCGUGAACAUAGACUUUGGUGUUUGGGAUGUCUUUGAUAUGAGAAGCUUGUGAGCUUACACUUUGGUAUUUGCACACACAUUCAAGUCUCAAUAAUAGGAUUGGCCUUAAGUAAAGCAGGGAUUUAUGUGUGCCACACCAUUUGAAGACCAAAAAUUAGGCUGGCCCUAAUUAUAAGAGCAGAGACUUCAUGUUUGUGGCAUCUUUAAUGUGAGAAGUCCUUCUAUUGCUCAUAAACUUGAGUCUUGAGGUUUUAAGUUAAGAUAUGAAACCCAUUCUCUCAUUUUCAGGCAGUUACUUUAUAUUAGAGCCAUAUUUCGUGUAGGCCUUGAAAAAUUGUUUGCACACAUGUUUGAAUCCCAAAAAAUGGGAUUGACCCUAACUACAGCAAGGACUUGUGUGUGCCACCAUUUGAAGAAAAAUUAGGUUAGCCCAUUCUCAUUGUUGCCUAUCUAUUCUAUUCUCCUAUUUUUAGGUGGUUACUUCUUAUUCCUGAAAAGUGGUAUUAGAGCUAGGUUUCACCCAAAACCUAAAAGCCUAUUAUCACCCACAAGUUUGAAGUCUAAAAUGAGAUUGGCCUUUACAACAGAGACUUGGUGUUUAUAAAUUUGAGCCUUGAAGUUUUAAAGUUAAGAUAUUUUACUUAAUGAGUCCUAAUGGUACUAACCCAUAUUGAUGGAAUGGAUUUCGAUGUUUAAGGCAUCUUUGCUUACUUAAGAGGAGGAUUGCUAUGAUUUUCUUCAAGCAUGAGUUGAUUUAAGAUGAUGUGGGAUUGAAAGGACUCUUCUCUGAUAGUCCUAACUUUGUGCUUUUUUCCCUACGAUAAGACAUUUUUCAAGAUCUUACCUUUUUUACCCUUCUAUUAUUUCCUAGAUAACAAACAUACAUGAAAAAUGCCAUCAUUCAAACAUGGUAGAGCCUAUUAGUUCUUUGAUCUCUCAACACUAGAUAGCUUGUACAUUGUCAUUCGUAAUAAUAGUAGAGGUGGGCAUUUUCUCUAUGGGAACUCAUUUUCUCAUCUGCUUUGAUUUAUAGGAGGUAGUUAAAAAGGUUGUGUAACAUAGAAAUCAUAAUGUUAAAGCUUAUUUGAAACAUACACACAUUCGUAUUUGAACUUUUAGAACAAGUUAAUGGUUUGAAAGCCUAAGAAAAUAAACUUUCAUAAUAUUUAUUUUUAUACUGUUCACUAUAAGUAUCCUAAUUGCAAAGGAAAUUUAGCUCUGAUGAAUUUUGUUUGGCACUUAAUUCAAGAAAUAACAUAUAUGAUUUCAUUGAAUUUUCAAUGCAUAGAAUACAUCAUGUAGCGUUAAGGGGUGCCCAUCUUGUAAUACUAAUUUGUAGGUGUCAAUUCCUACAACUUUGACUCUAGCAUUAUUCCUAAUAUAAAGCUACUUCUUGCUUGUACUUGCUUCUUAGCUUAUGUGGUUUGUUACUUCUAAGAAUCUACACAAGAUUAGCUUUAGCUAUAGAGGCCUGCUUGCCUUUUAGGACUUUGGUCUGCACUUCUUUUUCUUUUAUGGACCCUUGCCUUGAGUUCUUGAGUUCUUUGUGCUUAGUUUACAUCGUUGAAGGUCACAUUAUGCUUGCUAUGGGUCAAGUUUAUCUUCAUGUUAUCCCAACUGGGAGAUUUUCAUGUCUACCUUGAGAUCUUAUCACAGCUUGCAUUUGUUUUUUGUACUUUGACAUCUCUUUUAAUUAUGGCUUCAACUUUUACAUGUUGAACUUGAUGGCAAGCUUCCCACAUGCCCUAAGUAGUAAUUCACACAUGAUCAAUAAUCAAUGCAUGACAUCAUGUUCUUUCCUCUCCAAAAAGUG